rnacentral:rRNA from 1 species
UACGAAGGGGGCUAGCGUUGCUCGGAAUCACUGGGCGUAAAGCGCACGUAGGCGGAUUGUUAAGUCAGGGGUGAAAUCCUGGAGCUCAACGUCCAGAACUGCCUUUGAUACUGGCGAUCUUGAGUCCGGGAGAGGUGAGUGGAACUGCGAGUGUAGAGGUGAAAUUCGUAGAUAUCGAGAGGAACACCGGUGGCGAAGGCGGCCUUCUGGACAGUGACUGACGCUGAGACGCGAAAGCGUGGGGAGCAAACAGG